UGGGGAAUAUUGCACAAUGGGCGCAAGCCUGAUGCAGCGACGCCGCGUGCGGGAUGGAGGCCUCGGUUGUAAACCGCUUUGUUCAAGGGCAAGGCACGGCUUCGGGCCGGUGUUGAGUGGAUUGUUCGAAUAAGCACCGGCUAACUACGUGCC
rnacentral:rRNA from 1 species